UGGGGAAUAUUGCACAAUGGAGGGAACUCUGAUGCAGCGACGCCGCGUGAACGAAGAAGGCUUUCGAGUCGUAAAGUUCUUUUAUAUGGGAAGAUAAUGACGGUACCAUAAGAAAAAGCCCCGGCUAACUACGUGCCAGCAGCCGCGGUAAUACGUAGGGGGCUAGCGUUGUCCGGAAUCACUGGGCGUAAAGGGUUCGCAGGCGGAAAUGCAAGUCAGGUGUAAAAGGCAGUAGCUUAACUACUGUAAGCAUUUGAAACUGCAUAUCUUGAGAAGAGUAGAGGUAAGUGGAAUUUUUAGUGUAGCGGUGAAAUGCGUAGAUAUUAAAAAGAAUACCGGAGGCGAAGGCGACUUACUGGGCUCAUUCUGACGCUGAGGAACGAAAGCGUGGGUAGCAAACAGG
rnacentral:rRNA from 3 species